rnacentral:rRNA from 1 species
UUUCCGUAGGUGAACCUGCGAAGGAUCAUUGAACCU